rnacentral:lncRNA from 1 species
AGAGCAAGGAGGAUCCAGCCUGAAUAUAGACGGAGGCCCUAGGCUAAAUGGAAAGGAGAAAGCAGGAAGUGCUGCCGUCCUGCUGAAGUUGCUCAGGAACACAGAGUCUUCAGAGACUCAGGACUGAUGAGUAAGGACAGAAUAAUACUAGCCCGGCAAGAAGACCCCAGACUACCCUAGAACAGAGAUGGCAGCCCUUCUCCUGAUCGUUCCUGGCUGUCCCCAGGAGCUUGAUGAGCACGGCAAAGGCUGAGGCUACCGUCAGGAAUGCAGAGCCUCAAGUGGACAACCUCAGUACAAGACGUAGGAGCCACACGGGCUUGCUCAGCAAGGAAUGCCAUCCGAAACAGAGCCAAGUCCUUCCAGCAAUGCCCCAUCCGAAACAGCCAAAUCCUUCCAGCAAGCUACAUAGGUCGAGCACCUUCUCAGCCCAGGAUUGCUCAGGUGUUCAUGCACACCAGAAGAGGGAAUCAGAUUCCAUUAUGCAUGGUUGUGAGCCACCUUGUGGCUGCUGUGAAUUCAACUCAGAAGAGCAGCCAGCCUCUUAACUGCAGAGCCAUCUCUCCCUUAACCUGAUCAGAAACCAGCUGCAUGGGAUUGAUCGCUCAGGAGAGUAGACCCUUCCCUUCUGCUGUCAAUCACGAUGGAGUCCUGGACUUGACAAUGGCUGCCCAGGAAAUCACCCAACAUUUCAGUAGACAACUAACAACGCUAUUCAGAAUAUGAGUUUUGUCAAUCAUCCAUGACCCCUUAGCUGAUAGAGAAGGGCAGGGCUCCCGGGGAGAAUGGACACUGAAAAUGUUUGCAGUGACAUCAGUUUCUUUGAAACAUCCCAAAGUCCAUGGGGAGGGAGCAGGUCCAGUAGAGGUCGUUCCUUCAGACACACUGUGGGUGGUGUCUGCCAGAGCUGGUCAACUGUGGGGCUGGUAGGGGAUCCCGGAGGACUGAGACUCCACAGCAGCACCCUGCCACCCUCCGACUCUGCCACCUGCCCCGGAGCAGCUAAGCCAGGGGUCCCUCCAUUCUUCUGUCACCCGACCCAGGUAAAUAGAAGAAAGUAUCAGCUUUGCCAC